rnacentral:rRNA from 1 species
AGUGAACGCUGGCGGCGUGCCUAAUACAUGCAAGUCGAACGGCGUGGCGCAGGGGGGAGUAAUAUAUAGCUAAUCUGCCCCUUGCUGGAGGACAAAAGUUUGAAAUGACUGCUAAUACUCCAUAGCAAGUGAUGAGACUAUAUCGUAGCAUCUAGUCGGGGUGGUAACGGCCUACCGAGGCUCUGACGCGUAACUGGUCUGAGAGGAUGAUCAGGAAACUUGGAAGUGAGGCAGCAGUGAGACACUUACGGGAAGCGGCGAAAGGGAGAAUUGGGCAAUGGGCGAGACCCAGAAGCGGCAACGGCGCGUAGAGGAUGAUACUUUGCGAAGAGUAAACUCCUUUUGUUAGGGAAGCGGUACCUAACGAAUAAGCACCGGCUAACUCCGUGCCAGCAGCCGCGGUAAUAC